rnacentral:rRNA from 1 species
AUGGCCACUUUGGCCUUGCUCACUGUUUUGCUCGGUCGCAUCAGCCGCAGUCGCCGCCAUGUUUUGUUCCUUGCGGGUAGAAGAUCCAUGCACUUCGAUCGCAGCAUGCCUUUGCUGGGUUGUCUCCGAAAGUCCCCUUUACGAAUCACUGCCAAGGCCAAGACCAUCUCCGGGCACGAAGCCUCAAGUCCGAGGACUAUCGCAUUCGUGGAUCCCUUUCGCCAAGUACCACGACCGGUGAAGACCGAGACAGAGACCUCCUUGAGCAGGAGCGUUUUUGGGAUCGUCAAGACCAUCUCAAGUUCGACUAUGUUUUGCCGCCCCGACCGAGACCGACAAGUACCACUACGACCAUCCCUCUCCAAGACCGACCCUGAAAGGCUCGGAUUCGUCACGUGUGCAACGGCCCAUGUACAACUACGCGGAAUCGCCAAGUACCACUUCAUGUCGGCAAGACCCGCAAGUCGGACCCCGAACGAUCGACGACUCGUGGACCAUGUUCAACUUCAGGCACCGAACACCCGGGGUGGAAGGCUUGGCCUUAUGCCCGGUGUUUUGUUCCACUCUUGCCGCCCUAGCCAGUGCUUCUCUAAGUGUUGGUCCGAACCUAGUAGACUGCGGGGCCACCUCGGGGAAACUUGA